rnacentral:tRNA from 1 species
GACCGCGUACCUCAGUUGUCAGAGCAUUGGGCUAGUAUUCCAAAGGUCGUAGGUUCGAUUCCCACCGUGGUCA